rnacentral:lncRNA from 1 species
CGAGUGGGAAAGGCACAGUUUAUUGGUCACACAGACAGGACAGCGGCCACGCAGGGCGUGUACUCACUGUCUCGCUCUCACACAUUCCAGGUCAAAAAGCAACAUGAGGAAAGACACCAACAAUCUACUCUCCUAGUAACCAAGGACACAGGGCUAAAAGCCAUGGAGCCUGAGACUGAGAAGUCCAGCCUCGCCGAUGGGCAGCAGAGCCUGGUGGGGCUGCCUGCCUCGAGCAGCGUACGGGAGCCUGGCAUGCAGACCCCGCAGGGCUUUGGACACCCUGACCCCAGGCUGAGGCGGGACUUCCGGCUAGAGAGCCGCAGUGGACUUCUGGCUCUUGCUCGGGCAGCUCCCUGCUCCCCAGGUGGCUGCAGAGACCCCGCCUUGUCUACAGCAGCGUUAAUCACCGAAGCUGGCCCGGGACUGAGCCUGUGCCCUGAAUGAGUCACACACACUCUCCGAGUCCCUGCAGCCGAACCCGUCUCGCCCUCGGGGGCACCAGCCUGCUUAAUGCUUUGCUGCUCAAACCCUCAGGACGCAGGGGCCUGGGCGCCUCUGCCCCUCUUCGAGGCUGGCACCUCCAGCUCGGAUGUUGCCAUCCCGCACAAUGUCCCUAAAGCACUUAUGUCCACGUGGCACAGGCCGACUCCUCCGCCAAGGGGCCACUAUUAUUGUUAACAUUAUUAUUAUUUAUAUCUCCACUCUCAAGUUGGCACUUCAGUUCAUUUUGGGGACUUGAACAAGACCCUGGGGUCCCAAGGGUGCGGCUGCCCUCCGGUGUGCAUCUUCCGACUGUGGCACCUGCUGCCGGGGGCACAGCCAGCGCACUUGGUGGGCCACACAGAAGCGAGGCCGUGCCCCCAAAAUACAAAGCUUUGCACAGGAAGCAAGGAAGGAGGUCGUGGGAGAGGCUUCCGAGGCUUCUGCUGCUCCUCUGGGCUCUUGUCACUGGCCAGUCCCCAAAGGCGUCACUGCUGCAUGAGAAAGGGGGGGCUGUCAGGGACGCACCUGCCCGGAUGCCCUGGGACCCUGCCCGCUGAGGGCCCGGCCAGCGUCCUGUGGCGUGGAAAGAGCCUGCCCGCUCUCUUCAGAGCCGUUUAGUACUUUCGGUGGGAUAGAAAACUACAAAUGCUUGAUUACAGUGAAAGACAUCACUACUCACUCUCCUCAGAAUUCUCCCCUCUCGCUUCAAACCCACUCAGCCCCUCAUUCUCACCACCUCCC